GUUUUCACAGCAAACUUGAAAGAAAGAAUUUUAAUUCUCACGGGACAGCCUUCUUUUCUCAUCCCCUGAUGGAAGUUGGGGAUGAAAAUACAAGACACUUGACUUCUUUUGUUUGCAGAAUGGGGAAAUUUCUUGAGUUGUCAAAUAGAUGGAAUUGUUGUUAUCCCUAUUUUAUUACUAUCAUGACUUGCAGGUGGUGACCGUUGCAAAAUUC
rnacentral:misc_RNA from 1 species